CCUCCCACCCGUGUUUACUGUACCUUAGUUGCUUCGGCGGGCCCGCCAUUCAUGGCCGCCGGGGGCUCUCAGCCCCGGGCCCGCGCCCGCCGGAGACACCACGAACUCUGUCUGAUCUAGUGAAGUCUGAGUUGAUUGUAUCGCAAUCAGUUAAAACUUUCAACAAUGGAUCUCUUGGUUCCGGCAUCGAUGAAGAACGCAGCGAAAUGCGAUAACUAGUGUGAAUUGCAGAAUUCCGUGAAUCAUCGAGUCUUUGAACGCACAUUGCGCCCCCUGGUAUUCCGGGGGGCAUGCCUGUCCGAGCGUCAUUGCUGCCCAUCAAGCACGGCUUGUGUGUUGGGUCGUCGUCCCCUCUCCGGGGGGGACGGGCCCCAAAGGCAGCGGCGGCACCGCGUCCGAUCCUCGAGCGUAUGGGGCUUUGUCACCCGCUCUGUAGGCCCGGCCGGCGCUUGCCGAACGCAAAUCAAUCUUUUCCAGGUUGACCUCGGAUCAGGUAGGGAUACCCGCUGAACUUAAGCAUAUCAAUA
rnacentral:rRNA from 1 species